GUGAACUUAACAGAGAGGGGAAAUAUUGUGGCAAAAAAUGAAAAAGGGUUUUGAUUUCCUGCUAUGAUUGAGACCUUCUUUGUCAUUCCAUGCACCUCCAUUUCACUGCUUUCGUAUGACAGGCAAAGAUGAAAGGUUUCUGCAACUCAUGAAGGCAAGGAAUGGAGAAAAAAAGAGAAUUGUAAGGGAUACAGUAAACAGAUGGAAUAAAAGAAGAAGCAAGGACAUAAAAAGAAUGAAAUGGAGAACAAUGUUGAAGAGGAGAGUUUAUCGUUAGCAACCGGUCAAAAGAUCCGAAAGGUGGAAUUACAAACUUCCAGAGCUACAACAUUUGUUUAAAGAAGAAUUCAUUCAGUACAGUAAUUAAAAAAACACUGCCAUGAUCAGAAACUGUAACUCAAUGAUCAAUGGAGAGAAAAUUAAAGAGCAAGUGUUUUACAUAGAGAAUAGUAGUUAACAAGAAGAGGUAGGCAUUGGCUUCAUGCAGCAUAGAAUUCUAGAUAUAAGCUAGAUUCUUGCAUUUCUGCAGGUCCCACAUCUUUCACUCAACUGAUUUGGAACCAUGUCUAGCUUAU